rnacentral:lncRNA from 1 species
CUCAUUGUUCCUCUGCCAUUAGCCUUGCCUUUGUUUUCCUGACUUCCAACACUCAUCUCAGUUUUAAAGCGAAACUAAAGAUCCUGCAAUUGAAAAUCUUGUUAAGGUGCAAUAUGUUAUACUUGUUAACAGUAAAGACUUAAUUUUGUGUGACCUUGGUCACUGUGGAUUCCAUUCUGGAUGUGAGGGGAAGUCACUGGUGGAUUUUGAGCAGACGAGUCCUAUGAUCUCAUUUAGGUUUAAAAGAAUGACUCAGAUAACUGUAAAGAGGGGCCAGUGAUGAAAACUUAAACGAGGCGCCGACAACAAAAACUGAGACGAGUUAGGAAUCUGCCAAAAUAACCCCAGCAAGAAAUGAUGAUGGCUUGCACUAGAGUGUUAGCAGAACUGUUGGUGAGAAGCAGUUGGAUUUUAGUUUAUUUAGUGCUUUAUAAUUUUCACAGUGUCUCACUCACUUUCUUUUACCAACAGGGCAGGUUUUAUCCCUGGUUAUAAAUAAGAAUUCUCGAGGCUCUGAGAGAUUAUGAAUCUUACACAACGUGACUUAGUAAGGUAGAAUCGAGACAAUGCUAGGUCUUCUGAUUCUCAGUAGUGUUUUUUCCAAGUCGUUAACAUAAAUACUUAAUCUUUAAAAAAAAAGUCUGUUUCAAAUAUUUUAUAUGAUUGAAGAAAGUAAAAUCAUGUACUAGUGACAGAUCAUGGUGGCUCACACCUAUAAUCCCAGCACUUUGGGAGGCCGAGGUAGGAGGAUCGCUUAAGCUAGGAGUUCAAGACCAGUCUGGGCAACAUAGUAAGACCUUGUCUCUACAAAAGAUAAAAAUAAAAAACUUAGUUAGGCGUGGUGGCACGUGCCUGUAGUCCCAACUGCUUAAAUAAUCAUGUACUAGCUUAUAAUACUAUAUUAUUUAUCUCUGCAUAACAAAUUACCACAAAGUUAGUGGCAUAAAACAACACACAUUUAUUAUCUCAAUUUCUAUGGAUCAGCAGUCUAAGCACAGCUUAGCUCGAUCUGCUUAGGGUCUCAGAAGGCUGCAGUCAAGGUUGGGUUGGCCAGGGCUGCAGUCUCAUCUGAGGCUCAACUGCAGACGAAUAAAGGAAUUCUUGAUUGUUUUUGCUAUCUAAGAGAAAGAAUUAAUUCUACUAAGGAAUAGUGCCCUUGUCUUUUUUUCUGUAUUAUCACUCCCUUCUCACCUCAGCUUUAGAUAUAUAAACUUAGCAGUUGGAGUAUAAAUGCUUGUUUAUUCCAUUCUAUAAGAAUCUUGGAAUGCAGACUUUGUGUUUGUGGGUGUUACCCUUAUUUUGCUGCCAUGAGUAAAUAUACUAAUUAGGCUUGUUAGUGGUUAUUUUCCAUUUAGUUUCCUAAUUCUGCUUUAGCUGUUAGUCCACUGUCAGGGUGAUAUUUUGCAGGUUCUUUGGCUGAUGAAUUAAGAAAAUUUGUGGAACCAACCCCUGGGUUCAAAAAACAGAGUGACCCUCAACUGUGAUCUGACUUUCCACUCCUGAAGCCUUUCUGAAUUCUACCCCAGUUUAGUUGAUUGUUAUGAACUAGUCUUUAUUUGUGUGUGGCAUAUAACUGAGGGAAGAUGUCUUUUUUUUCUUUUUUUGAGAUGGAGUCUCGCUCUGUCGCCAAGGCUGGAGUGCAGUGGCACAAUCUUGGCUCACUGCAACCUCUGCCUCCUGGGUUCAAGCAAUUCUCCUGCCUCAGCCUCCUGAGUAGCUGGGAUUACAGGCACGCGCCACCACGCCUGGCUAAUUUUUGUAUUUUUAGUAGAGACGCGGUUUCAUCAUGUUGGCCAGGCUGGUCUUGAACUCCUGACUUCGUGAUCUGCCUGCCUUGGCCUCCCAAAGUGCUGGGAUUACAGGUGUGAACCACCACGCCCACUGGGAAGAUGUCUUUUAAAAGCUUUUGGGUGCUCUCUUCCACAAUUUCUUAUCUUAGGACUUCUGCUUAUAGAAUUGCAAGACUAGAUAAUUCAGACCAACCCUCCCUUGAGGACAGUGCAGGGUGGGGAGUCUGGGAAAAUCUGUUUUGAAGGCAUUGGUGAGCUAAUAAGGUGGUGAAGAAUUCCAGGCCAAAGAGAUUAAAGCCUUUAAAAACCAUUUCCCACUAAAAUGAACCAGGUUGCUGUGUUUGAGGCACAACUUGUAGAAGAUGCACCCUCGGGACAUCUUGUGCCAGAAAACAGAAUCAGUCAGAGACUUCUGAGGGUCAUGUGAAAAUCGUACAGAAGUCAAAAGUGAACUGUUAAGCAUAAAAAGCUAUGACUGAAAUGUAUUAAAACAUAUCAGAUAUAGAAACAUGUAUGAGUUUGUAAUGGUGCUCUUAAAAACUUGUUGGUAAACUCUGGAGGUUGUUAUACUACCAACUUGUUCUUCAAAAUUUAAAGGGAAAGAAUCAUUUUUCUGCCUUUUUCUAAAACAACUAUUUUUCAGGGUAACUGAAUAGUUGAAGGUGGGAGAGUUUUUCUACAUGGAAUAAUUAUAGUUAAUACAUAUAGAAGGAAUGAUGGAAUUUUAAAAACCAACAUUUGUAAUUUCUAAUGAAAUAUCUUGGCAAAAUCAUUAAUAGCUUCCUGAACCAUUAGGUAAAAAGUUGAUAGGAAGCUUUGUAUUGAAUGGAUCAGGCUGAUAACACUAGAAUCUACUAGUUAAUCUUAACUUCACUAGAAGUGAGACAAGCAGACAUUAUGUUCUACUACCCAGUGUGAUGAAAUUGGAAGGGUGUAACCCUCUCCUUAUAAUGUAAUCAUGCCAAAGAAAAGUGAACAGGGAUAAGUGAGUAUUUUUGAUGACACAAAGAAGGCACAAUAAACCAAAUCGAGGGUGUUGAAAAUUCUGUAAGACAAAAAUCCGUGUAAGUAAGCGAAAGACAUGAAAAUGAAGAAAGGAGAGGGAGAACUGUUAUAAAUUAAGAGAUUUAAGAAUCAUAUCCUUCCAUUUCUUCAAGUCAUACAUGGUGGCCUGCCAACACUAUACUCUUCUGUAAGGUGUUUCACGCAAUACGGCUGUCCACUUUCUC